GGUCGGUUAGCUCAGUUGGUUAGAGCGUGGUGCUAAUAACGCCAAGGCCGCGGGUUCGACCCCCGUACUGACCA